GAUGAACGCUGGCGGCGUGCCUAAUACAUGCAAGUCGAGCGAACGGACGAGAAGCUUGCUUCUCUGAUGUUAGCGGCGGACGGGUGAGUAACACGUGGAUAACCUACCUAUAAGACUGGGAUAACUUCGGGAAACCGGAGCUAAUACCGGAUGAUAUUUUGAACCGCAUGGUUCAAAAGUGAAAGACGGUCUUGCUGUCACUUAUAGAUGGAUCCGCGCUGCACUAGCUAGUUGGUAAGGUAACGGCUUACCAAGGCAACGAUGCAUAGCCGACCUGAGAGGGGGAUCGGCCACACUGGAACUGAGACACGGUCCAGACUCCUACGGGAGGCAGCAGUAGGGAAUCGUCCGCAAUGGGCGAAAGCCUGACGGAGCAACGCCGCGUGAGUGAUGAAGGUCUUCGGAUCGUAAAACUCUGUUAUUAGGGAAGAACAUAUGUGUAAGUAACUGUGCACAUCUUGACGGUACCUAAUCAGAAAGCCACGGCUAACUACGUG
rnacentral:rRNA from 1 species